AUGUUAUACUACUUGGAACUCCUACCGUUUGCACCUUUAAAUUUGAGCCAAACGAUGUAUGUGAACCGGAGGACUUGCACAAGAGAGUUUCUACACCACCCGCCGGAGAAGUAUGGAAGUGGGGCACGCAUGAAGAGGAAAACAAAGAGGAAUACGAGGAGGAAGAGGAAGGCGAAGAGGAGGAGGAAGAAGCAGAAGAAGAAGCCCCAACCAAUCAGACAGAGCUUGGGGGAGUUGAUGAGUGUUACUUUCACGCUCAUCACACCUGAGUUUAGACCGCUUUCAUCAAAACCAAGAUAUCCGCUUCGAUAUUGCUACUAG
rnacentral:rRNA from 1 species